rnacentral:siRNA from 1 species
CAUGGAGGCUUGAUUCUCGUGU